rnacentral:rRNA from 1 species
UACGGAGGGUGCAAGCGUUAUCCGGAUUCACUGGGUUUAAAGGGUGCGUAGGUGGAUUGGUAAGUCAGUGGUGAAAUCUCCGGGCUUAACUCGGAAACUGCCAUUGAUACUAUCAGUCUUGAAUACCGUGGAGGCCAGUAGAAUAUGUCAUGUAGCGGUGAAAUGCUUAGAUAUGACAUAGAAUACCAAUUGCGAAGGCAGCUCACUACACAAUCAUUGACUCUGAGGCACGAAAGCGUGGGGAUCAAACAGG